UUCUUUUUUUUUUUUGUAGCUUUAAACUGUACCAAUCUACUGAUUGAGUAAAACCCAUAUCAUCUCUCGGGUCAUUUCUGAGUCCUUUGACGAUUGAAGGUGUUGGGUUUCUUUUGUUUCAUUUAAGGCUAACUUCUUGAAACUAGUUUAAAAUGGUUGAUAGCAACGCAUCAUCUACAAAGAUGCUCCUUAAUUCCAGUAGCUAAGCUACAGUAAUGCUCAAUUCUAGUAGCUAAGGUACAAUUAAUCUAGGCCAACUUUAUACAAUAAGGUACCUUUUAGGUGUCUUGCUUCUGAAACCAUCAUUCUGUAAUUCUGUACAUCAAUGGCAACAAUGGAGUGCGUUAGAC